UACGUAGGGUGCGAGCGUUAAUCGGAAUUACUGGGCGUAAAGCGUGCGCAGGCGGUUUUGUAAGCCAGAUGUGAAAUCCCCGGGCUUAACCUGGGAAUGGCAUUUGGGACUGCAAGGCUUGAGUGCGGCAGAGGAGACUGGAAUUCCUGGUGUAGCAGUGAAAUGCGUAGAUAUCAGGAGGAACACCGAUGGCGAAGGCAGGUCUCUGGGCUGACACUGACGCUCAUGCACGAACGCGUGGGGAGCAAACAGG
rnacentral:rRNA from 1 species